AACGCGAAGAACCUUACCAAGGCUUGACAUCGCCGGAAAACUCGCAGAGAUGCGGGGUCCUUUUGGGCCGGUGACAGGUGGUGCAUGGCUGUCGUCAGCUCGUGUCGUGAGAUGUUGGGUUAAGUCCCGCAACGAGCGCAACCCUCGUUCCAUGUUGCCAGCACGUGAUGGUGGGGACUCAUGGGAGACUGCCGGGGUCAACUCGGAGGAAGGUGGGGAUGACGUCAAGUCAUCAUGCCCCUUAUGUCUUGGGCUGCAAACAUGCUACAAUGGCCGGUACAGAGGGCUGCGAUACCGUAAGGUGGAGCGAAUCCCUAAAAGCCGGUCUCAGUUCGGAUUGGGGUCUGCAACUCGACCCCAUGAAGUCGGAGUCGCUAGUAAUCGCAGAUCAGCAACGCUGCGGUGAAUACGUUCCCGGGCCUUGUACACACCGUAGUAC
rnacentral:rRNA from 1 species